UAAGGAAUAUUGGUCAAUGGACGCAAGUCUGAACCAGCCAUGCCGCGUGGAGGAUGAAGGUCCUCUGGAUUGUAAACUUCUUUUAUUUGGGAAGAAACCCACGGUUUCUACUGUGGUUGACGGUACCAGAUGAAUAAGCACCGGCUAACUCCGUGCCAGCAGCCGCGGUAAUACGGAGGGUGCAAGCGUUAUCCGGAUUCACUGGGUUUAAAGGGUGCGUAGGCGGGCAGGUAAGUCAGUGGUGAAAUCCCCGAGCUUAACUUGGGAACUGCCGUUGAUACUAUCUGUCUUGAAUACUAUGGAGGUAAGCGGAAUAUGUCAUGUAGCGGUGAAAUGCUUAGAUAUGACAUAGAACACCAAUUGCGAAGGCAGCUUGCUACACAGUUAUUGACGCUGAGGCACGAAAGCGUGGGGAUCAAACAGGAUUAGAUACCCUGGUAGUCCCUGAGCGGGCUGGCAAGGCGCAU
rnacentral:rRNA from 1 species